CCAUGAGAGGCGGUGAGGGCUUGACUGGCUUCAGCCUUGGCGUCGGUCUGGAGACUGAUUUCCUCGAGGAUGAGGAAGGAACGAGCGCUCAUGAAGGUGUGCGGCGGGUGUUUGGCGGUGAUGACCGGCUUGACGUAGCGGUACUUGGGGUUGAGGCCGCGGAGUAGAUUGAGCACCUGGCUCGGCUCGGAGACGGGGUGGCCGAUGUCGCGGAGCUGAUCGGCGAGCCUCUUCAACUUGGUGCAGUACUCAUUCAUCGACAGAUCGCCUUGCUGCAAGGAGCGCAGCUCCGCCUCCAGGUAGACGGCGCGCUGCAGCUCAUUAUCCUGGAACAGGUCCUCGACGGCGUGCCACAGAGAGAACGCGUCGUGGCGAUCACGGCGAACAAUGUCGAAGACGGACUUGUGGACGGUGGAGAGGAUCCAGUUGACGAUGCAUGCGUCAACCAUGCGCCACUCGCCGUCGCGAUCAUCAUCGGGCGCAGUAGAACGGACGUGGCUCUGAAGGCCGAAUUUCCCGAGGGUCGACUCGAAGAAGAGACGCCAUUGGCCGUAGUUGGCCUCGUCCAUGUCAAGGAUGACAGGAACGUGAUGGCGGAUGGAAAUGCCCUGGAUCUGGGAGGCGCUGGCUGGAUCAAUGGAGAAGCCAUCAGCGGAGGACACUGAGUUGUUGGAAGAGGGAGCCAUGGCAGCGGAAGAAGUGGCGAAGGGAUUUACGAAAACCUUAGACGAUGAUACCAUGUAGAAGGGAAAGCACAGAGAGAGUGGUGCGGGCGAGCACGCUACGGCAGUGGUGCGAGCGCGCAUCAAUCGGAUCGCAGGAGAAUCGCCGUGGUGACCGCGUCCAGCGGAGCAAGUGCGGGAGCGUGGGCACGUUGUGCCCCUGAAGACUCGGCAAUGAUCUAACCGCCACGGGAGAUACGACUCUGCUGACA